AUUUUUUAUUCAAUUAUGAUUUUAAAUUGCAAAUUUAAAGGUAACUUACGUUAAAAAUUUA
rnacentral:tRNA from 1 species